GUGCCGACGAGAGCUUGAGCUCAAUUGGGAUAACAGCCUCCGUGCCGAAGGCUAGAGCGAAGGGGGUCUCCCCCGUGGGCAGUCUUUGGGUAGUUCGGUACGCCCACAACACAUGGUAAAGUUCGUCUGCCUAAGUUUCCUUCGCCUUUUCGAGCCUUGUCUUGAUCCCUUGCAGCAGAGUUCUGUUGGUCACUUCGGCUUCGCCGUUCGCCUGAGGAUGGGCUACCGAUGUGAAGUUGUGGGAGAUGUUUAGAUCUUCACAAAAUUCGAUGAAUCUC
rnacentral:lncRNA from 1 species